rnacentral:misc_RNA from 1 species
GGACUUCAUGAGUGCAACAAACUUCAGUGUUUCGUGAAUCAGUGAAAUAAUGAUUCAUAAAACAAAAGCCAGAGGAGACAUUAUCAGAUUCAAUUAAGCAAUUUAAAAGCAUCAAAAGCAACUGAAUACUUGGCCAUUUCUUCUUUUCUUACGAGCAAUAGAACUGCAAGAAUUCUGGUGCAAACUUUGUUACCUGGAAAAAAAAAUUCAUUAAUCAAGUAAAAAGAUUUCUUCUUUUACAUAGACACUCAAACAUAAACAACCACCAAAACAAUGAAAUUAUAAGAUGUUU